rnacentral:tRNA from 1 species
CUCUUCUAGUAUACUAAAUACAACUGACUUCCAUCCUUUAAAAUCUGGUAUAAACCCAGAGAAGAGCA